rnacentral:rRNA from 1 species
GACGAACGCUGGCGGCGUGCCUAAUACAUGCAAGUCGAACGCUGAAGUUCUGAGCUUUCUCUUCUUGGAAGAGUUGCGAACGGGUGAGUAACGCGUAGAUAACCUGCCUUGUAUCGGGGGAUAACUAUUUGGAACGAUAUCUAAUACCGCAUAACACUGUAUUACACAUGUCACUUAUUUUAAAGAGGCAGUUGCUCCACUACAAUAUGGACCUGCUUUGUUUUAUUUAGUAGGUGAGGUAAUAGCUCACCUACGCGACGAUACAUAGUCGCCCUGGUAGGGUGAACGGCCAAAAUGGGACUGAGACAAGGCCCAGAAUCCUAAGGGAAGCAGCAGGAGGGAAUCUUCGGGAAUGGGGGGAAACCUGAACGGGCAACGCCGCGUGAGGGAAGAAGGGUUUCGGAUCGGAAAGCUCUGUUGUAAGGCAAGAAAGGGUGUGAGAGUGGAAAGUUCACAAUGUGACGGUAGCUUACCAGAAAGGGACGGCUAACUACGUG